CUUCCCCCGAUGUAACCUGUUCAUCUUCAGUCAUGUUGCUUCCCAGGGAAGCGAGGUGUGGACCGAGGCCGUGCUGCCGGCUGCCGGCUGCUCGCUGCAGGCCGACGGGCCCACAGGCCGACCCAGUGUGACGGGUCGGCUCAGCCGAGCCGGAACAGGCAGUCACGAGACAAGGUCGGCCAUGAUGAGACUGACAACACGAGUGGAGAUUGCACAUGAUACGCCUUUGUUCACCCGGUGGCCUCGCCCUUGUUCUCAUCUUCUCUUCAUUCCCCCUCACAGGCCGCCCUCUCAUAUCUCUCCCUCACAAUGUCAAGUGUUACCGUUUUAUUUGCGUUCCCUGAAAGGCAUUUGAUUUGUUUGAACAUCUCUGCGAGGACAUUUGUCCUUGAAUGAUGGCAAGCAGCAAUGCAAGAGACAGUUUGUAUAAUUUACUUUUAUUCAUACCCUACAAAGACGCACCGACAAAGAGCAGCUUCCUUGAUUUAAGGAGUGUGUAGGCCUACUGUUGCAGACAGCGAGCAAACCUGCCGCGCACUCCCACACAGCCACGGAGCUGGUUCUGUCAGCAGCGAGAGGGAGAACAUGGCACCACAGUGUGUUUGCCAACAGUUAGGAAACUGAGCAAAACACACACACACACACGCACACACAUUGCACAAACACAACAUUAUCACUAUUUACACAUUCUGCCUGUUGAAGCUCAUAUAUGCUCAGAGCAACUGUGCAAACUGCAGAACAACUUACAUCAGCAUGUGUGUGUGUGCACAGCAGCUGGUAAUUGUAGGCGUCACCAGACUGUGAGGGCCAGAUGUAAGUGUAGAAAAAGUGCAAUCUGUCAGAUUGCUGUAUUUAAAGGAUAUCCUGAAAGCCAUGUUAAAUACCGAGUAAUAAUCUCCAAGGUGACGCGUUGAGGAUCACAUAUUUUCCAGUGUUAAUUAGUUUCCAGCUAAUAGUCUGAUCAUAUUUACAGGCAGCAGUAGAGCACGUUGCCAAAUCAAAUCAAAUGCUUGAGUUCAUUUAUAUCUGGAUUUCUCUUCCUUUUAAAAACAUAAAAGUCAGAGUCAACCUUUACAUUGUUAUUCAUGUGAUGCAUAUGUCCGCCAGGGCAAAGCUGUGUCUGUUUGCAUGUUUGCAUACAGAUAGAUCAACCUUUCCACAGUCAUUUGAGUCUAUUUACGCUAUUUCCACUAGAGGACUCUCUAGUCUGCACCACUAGCUGUCCACAUGGAGCACAUGGAAAGCAGCCGUGUUGGAGCGGUGCAGCUCCCCCUGAAGAGGGCAGUCUUGUCAAGUGCCUUUACAUUUGAAAUCCACCAUCCUCUGCUCUCAUUUCAGGAAUUAAUAGCUUACACACUUACUGUAAAACCUCACGCAGUAAAAACAAAGUAAACGUUACCUUGCAAAACAUAAAAAGACACCUAAAGAGCAGUAUUCUUGGAAAUGGUUUUUUUAAAUUGGUGGAAAAUGAUGAAAAACACUAGUAAUAGCACACAACAGCCGGAACAGGGCUUCAAAAGGAAGUCAAUCAAAUAAACUGAACAAACACAAGCUGUAAAAUAGUUUAACGGCAGCGCUGCGUUGGGCUCAGGCCGCUGCAGCUCGGUGGCGUGCUCGCUGCUCUUUGUUCUAACCAGAGCAUGUGCCACAAGCCAUCACUGCUUUUCCUCAACAGCUGCUAAACCCAUUAAAUCUGCAGCCAGCCACCGGAGUAGAGGGCUUACGGGGAGGAAGGAGGGCUCGACUGAACCAUGCACUGCUCCUCCAGAACCCCGGGGCCCGCAGCAGAGACAUGCCCACCAUGGACGUAGACCAGCAGGAUCAGCGGUGUGCGUCCCGCUUCACGCAUCUGCUGUUUGCAACAGUCUAUUCAUCAAAUACAAUUUAAAUGUGAUUGUUAUGAAGUCAUUUAUAUCACGUGUUUAGAUGACAUGUUGAGGUGAUUAUCUGGACGGUAUGUUUCUUAUCGUCUGGACUGAAGAAAAGUGCAUUUGAAGGGGAUUUUACGAGCAGCGUGGUGAUUAUCCAGAAUCCAUUCCGCAUCGUUUAGUGGACCGACACUCGGUUCGCUCUGCAGUCCCGCGCCUCCGGCUCUGAAGCUCAAUGGCUCCCAGUGCUUCUAUUUGCUGUGCGGCAGGAUAUCACCACACUAUUCAUUUCCAGGCUUCACAUCACCUCAUUUAAUGGACCUGUCCCUCUGCACAGUAUUAAAGCUUUAUAAAGACGGUCCUUCCUUCGGAAAAAUACAGCGUACAGCUCUUUUAUUUUUGUCUCCAUUUAGCUCAUUUCGAGGCUCAGUGAUUUGUCUGGAUUGGCUUCACACCCCAUCUCAAGGGGGCUUCAGUUGGUCCAUAACCUCAGCACCACCGCCUCUGAUUAGCAGCCCAUACUGAAAGAGGAUGUUAUGCUGUUGUGGCAGAGGGUAGCCUCACUCUCUGGGCGUCAGCACACCUAAUUCGGGGGAGCCAAUCAUGGUGCGCGGGGCCCGGUAAAAGUGACGGGGAAGCGUUUGGUUCCCCCUUGACAUCAAGCACGGCUUCCGCCACGUUUGCGGACGCGUUGGGCUCCCCUCCUCCUGUACGGAGGUUCAUCUCUGGUGCGCGCUGCCGGCAGCUUGCCUCCUCCCACCCUCCAAGUGGAAUGCUUGGAAUGCCCGACUGAUCGGAGACUGUUGGCCGGGUCGGCGGAACGCUGCCACUCCAUAUGGGCCACUGCUGUUUUGCCUAGGAUUGUUUUAACAACUGCCGUGGCACUGUUGAGCGUCCACAAACGCUAUACCCGCCACUGGUCAGUCCCCGGCCUACACCUUUAUUUUCAGUAACGGCCCUUUUUAUUAUUAUCUUGCAUUUUAUACAUUGUGUGAUCGAAUUAAUAUUGUAUAUGGAUUGGAACCGCGUCUCUCGCUACCUGUGUGUAUAAGGAACCAGCGUUAAGAUAGGAUAAGCGGUUUGGAUAAUGCAAUUAAAUAUGUUCAUUAACAUUUAGCCAUUUUUGCCCCCAAUCUUAAUAUGUUGUGAAAUGGAGCAGAACACACGUGGUGUGGGUGAAGCAGAGAAUCAGGCCUCACAGUAACAUUUGAUGGUGCUUGAGAGGGUCCAUUAAUGCUGAAUCUUCAAAGAGAUGCUAUUUUCACCCCAAAUAAGUUGUAUUCUGGAGCAGGGACAAAUACAUCGUAUAGGACUCGUCACCUCCUUUUGAUAACCAAGGCAAAGGGAGCAGCGUGCCUCGCCUUGGCGGGGCGUGUCCUCGGGGCCUUGGAAGCUGCCUCUGACCACCAGAGUGAGUUCAUCGGUCUGCAGCCCGCAGUCGCAGAGCGGUCUCUCCCAGAGACUCGCACUGGAGAUUAAUUACACAGCGGAGGUGAGGGAAAAAACAAAGGCCAAUCCAUCUGGGUCAGGGCAAGCGGACAGGCCCAUGGCGCAGCAGGUGUAGGCGCUGACAACGCCAUCUAUCACAGGGACACGGCCAUUCCAACAAACACAAGGUCGGAGUGCUGCUUUCUCCUCUGGCCCCCAAGACACAGCACGGCCCCUGUGAGCCACUUGUUCACCCUCUGAGCCCCUUUUCCUUUCCCGUUGCUGUUCUAGUCCUCAGCACAGCGGGGGGCGAGGCCAACCCGCUGCCACGCUGCAGAGAAAGACACUCUGGGCUACUCCGAGGUCGCAGGCGGCUGACGGCGUGCUAUCAGUCCUGGCACACACGAUCGCUGAGGAAAUUGCUGAGGAGUAUGAGCCAUUUGCUGUGUGUGAUUGAUUUGGCGUUGGUGCUGUUGCUACCCCGAGACGGGCUUUAUAAAGCCGCGUGUGACAGGCCAGGGUCGGCCGGUUAUCUUCCUGAUGGGAGGCUGUGGAGCGGCGGAGCUGGGGCUCGUUAGGUCGGUCAGUUAAUGGUUCAGAUCUGGUGACUCAUCACUGAAAUGAAGUUACAAACUGUAAUUGGUAAAAGUAUCAUUACAGUGAACUGAAACUGGUUCAUAUAAUAAUACAUUGUGUUAAAUGUUAAAAGUAAUAUUCUUAAAAUAUUAUUUGACUGUAAAAAAUAAGUGUCGAACCGCACUAAUUGAGAAAAUAAUCCAGUUGACUAAAGUGGAAUGGAUUAUGUACCCAGAUUUGUGCUAAAAAGGGAACUUUAUUUGUUGAUUAACCAAUAGGUAAAAUAUGAAUGAAUUUAAAAUCAAUGGUUUAUCAAAGUAAUUUAUUAAGAAAAGAUUGUAAACAUUUGAUGGUUCCAGUUUCUCAAUUGUGAGGGUUUGUUGCUCUGCUCUUUAUAUCACUCUUAAUAUUUUGUUGGUUAUAAAAUACUAAAAACACCUUGGUCUCUUGUAAUCAACCUUUUGAUAUUCUCUAAUAUUCAGACUACAUGUUUAAUCAAUGAUGGAAGUAGUCGUUACAAUCCCUGGGACACGGAUGUCUUUGUGGACAGACUGUAAAGCCCUCUGAGCCAAAUUUGUGAUAUUGGGCUAUACAAAAUAAACUGAAUUUAAAUGGAACCCUA